rnacentral:piRNA from 1 species
UGGUUAAUUGUUUUGCUGCCAGUGUCUUGU